AAACUCGGUGUUUUAACAUAGUUUAUCACUCAAGAGAAAUUCAUAUCAGUUCCUAGAUUCAUCUUAAUCAUUACACACAGUGUUCAAGAAAUUUAAAAGCUGAUCAUGUAACAAAAAUGAAACUAAUUCAGGACUUUGAAGACCGCAUGAUUUAACAGGAGAAUGCACACCAAAAUAGGAAUCAGAAGACCACUGUUGAGUUCCCUGAAAGCAAGAUCGGGAUCCAAAUCUCUUCUUGAAAUCCCAGAACCUACACCUCAGCGUAAGGUCUUUACUCACUGUUGACAUCUACCUGUGCAGAAAUAUC